UACGAAGGGGGGCGAGCGUUUGUUCGGAUUUACUGGGCGUAAAGGGCGCGCAGGCGGCGCAUUUUGUCAGGCGUGAAAGCCCCGGGCUUAACCUGGGAACUGCGUUUGAUACGGAUGGGCUAGAGUUCGGGAGAGGAGAGUGGAAUUCCCAGUGUAGAGGUGAAAUUCGUAGAUAUUGGGAAGAACACCGGUGGCGAAGGCGGCUCUCUGGACCGAGACUGACGCGUGAGGCGGCGAAAAGCGUGGGGAGCAACAGG
rnacentral:rRNA from 1 species